rnacentral:rRNA from 1 species
UAACGCGAAGAACCUUACCAGGUCUUGACAUACUCGUGCUAUUCCUAGAGAUAGGAAGUUCCUUCGGGACACGGGAUACAGGUGGUGCAUGGUUGUCGUCAGCUCGUGUCGUGAGAUGUUGGGUUAAGUCCCGCAACGAGCGCAACCCUUAUUGUUAGUUGCCAGCAUUCAGAUGGGCACUCUAGCGAGACUGCCGGUGACAAACCGGAGGAAGGCGGGGACGACGUCAGAUCAUCAUGCCCCUUAUGACCUGGGCUACACACGUGCUACAAUGGCGUAUACAACGAGUUGCCAACCCGCGAGGGUGAGCUAAUCUCUUAAAGUACGUCUCAGUUCGGAUUGUAGUCUGCAACUCGACUACAUGAAGUCGGAAUCGCUAGUAAUCGCGGAUCAGC